rnacentral:rRNA from 1 species
UACGUAGGGUGCAAGCGUUAAUCGGAAUUACUGGGCGUAAAGCGUGCGCAGGCGGUUUUGUAAGUCUGUCGUGAAAUCCCCGGGCUCAACCUGGGAAUUGCGAUGGAGACUGCAAGGCUAGAAUCUGGCAGAGGGGGGUAGAAUUCCACGUGUGAGCAGUGAAAUGCGUAGAGAUGUGGAGGAACACCGAAUGGCGAAGGCAGCCCCCUGGGUCAAGAUUGACGCUCAUGCACGAAAGCGUGGGGAGCAAACAGG